rnacentral:RNase_P_RNA from 1 species
UUUGGAAAUUGGAGCUUCCGCUGCUAUGCAGCGGCGGGAGAGGAAAGUCCGAACUCCUUCUGAUUUUUUCAGAAAAAGUAAAAGUCGGUAACGCCGACCGGGAGCAAUCCCAGGGAAAGUGCCACAGAGACAAUACUAGCCAGUGCUUUGCACUGGAAAUUCCAAAACCCAAUAUCCAAAUUCCAAAUAAAUUCCAAAUUCAAAAAUUCAAACUCCAAACAACCAUUUUGUUUCGGAUUUUGCCCGCCUGCGGCGGGUCCGCCGAAGGCGGAAAAAAUUGAGACUUGAGAUUUGUUUGGAACUUGGGAUUUGGUGCUUGGAGCUUCCACUGCAAGGCAGUGGCGAAAGGUGAAAAGUAAAAAGGUGCCAAGCCCCCACACUAAUAUUUAUAAAAUGAGCAGAUAGAUAAACAAAAGCUUAUAUAAAUAUUACUUGUAGAUAUUAGUGUGGGGGUGAAACUACUUUUUUCUCCGUUCGGUGACGAACGCGAGUGGUAAACCCUUUUUGGAGCAAGAGCAAACCCCCGUCUUUUUCCAAAAAGGCUGGGGAAAAGUAGCUCGCUUGAGUCUUAUGGCAACAUAAGACCCAGAUAGAUUACUAUCACUAAACUAACUUAUAACCAAUAACUGAUAACCCAUAACUAUUUUGAUUUUUUGUUAUUAGUUAUUAGUUAUAAGUUAUAGGUUGGUUUGGGACAGAAUUCGGCUUACAGAUUUGCUUAAAUC